GGGGAGGUGGCUCACUGGUAGAGCGCUUGCCUUGCAUGCAUGAGGCCCUGGGUUCAAUUCCCCGGCACCACA
rfam:Dipodomys ordii contig_60369, whole genome shotgun sequence.